rnacentral:sRNA from 1 species
AGCUGUCAAGGCGAACUAUCUGGCAACUCUGCAAACUGACAAGCUACCCUUCACUAACCCAGGAAAAGUUCUUUUGCGAUCCAGAAUCAAAAGUGAACGGUUGGAGUUAUAGCAAUUAAAAACCCAAGCCAAAUCCACAUCCAAAUCCCACGUGGGAAAAGUUAGUACCCAAAGUGGCACCCAAGUCUUCCACCAAGUGCAGCUGAAUAUUGACCGUGAACGUGCGCAGCCGUUGGCAUCAGCACGCGUGUCUGUGUAUGUGUGUGUGUGUGUCUGAAACAUUCAGGUCAUCCUCAAAACCCCGUAAUAGUGGGCGUAGAGCUACACCGGAGCCUACGACAAACAACGCGUCCCGUCGCGACCCAGAAGUCCACGGCGGAGCCACCGCGUGCCUUGCUGGGUAGACGUUCGUGAAACGCUUUCCUCGAUCAGCUCCUAAACGUGCGCGAAUCCGGACCAGACCCAAGCCACGAUAGGCGAGGAGUUCCCUGGUAGCCGGAGACGUGUGCGUGAUUGGGGCAGCAUAGGAUCAGGAGCGGUGCUGAAACUUUUCGAGGAACGUGUGUGAGGACAUAACCUCACUUUGUGAAGCAGCACCUCAUGUUCGGCAACAUGACCUCGGCCAUGUAAAGGGCAGUUCGGCGAUCGUUGCAGCAAUCAUUUAGAGGCGACUAAAUAACAACAGCAACAACAAGGAGACAUGCGCAAUAAAUUGUGCCAGUAGCAGCGGAGCAAAAUAGUUGGCAACAUAUACAUCGAAUCUUCGUAAUUUAAUUUAAAUUUCAUCAAAGCACCCUGCGCUCCAGUCUACAGGCCUGCGGACUUCGAGGGAUUUGGUUUCGUGAGUACAAUAUAGACUCGAUCAUGUAUUAUUGCCGCUCAAAGAAAGCGUAUGAAUAUUUAGGUAUCGUAAUGCAUAAAAUCUACUUUAACUAUUAUUUGA